AUUGAACGCUGGCGGCAGGCUUAACACAUGCAAGUCGAGCGGAGAUGAGUUGCUUGCACCUUAUCUUAGCGGCGGACGGGUGAGUAAUGCUUAGGAAUCUGCCUAUUAGUGGGGGACAACAUUCCGAAAGGAAUGCUAAUACCGCAUACGCCCUACGGGAGAAAGCAGAGGAUCUUCGGACCUUGCGCUAAUAGAUGAGCCUAAGUCGGAUUAGCUAGUUGGUGGGGUAAAGGCCUACCAAGGCGACGAUCUGUAGAGGUGCUGAGAGGAUGUACCGCGACAGUAGUACUGAGCCACGGUCAGACUCCUACGGGAGUAAGAAGUGGGGAAUAUUGGACAAUGGGGGGAACCCUGAUCUAGUCAUGCCGCGUGUGUGAAGAAGGCCUUAUGGUUGUUAAGCACUUUAAGCGAGGAGGAGGCGACUGAGACUAAUACUCUUGGAUAGUGGACGUUACUCGCAGAAUAAGCACCUGCUAACUCUGUGCCAGCCGCCGCGGUAAAAC
rnacentral:rRNA from 1 species